rnacentral:rRNA from 1 species
CUAACGUCCGUCGUGAAGAGGGAAACAACCCAGACCGCCAGCUAAGGUCCCAAAGUCAUGGUUAAGUGGGAAACGAUGUGGGAAGGCCCAGACAGCCAGGAUGUUGGCUUAGAAGCAGCCAUCAUUUAAAGAAAGCGUAAUAGCUCACUGGUCGAGUCGGCCUGCGCGGAAGAUGUAACGGGGCUAAACCAUGCACCGAAGCUGCGGCAGCGACGCUGAUGCGUUGUUGGGUAGGGGAGCGUUCUGUAAGCCUGUGAAGGUGUGCUGUGAGGCAUGCUGGAGGUAUCAGAAGUGCGAAUGCUGACAUAAGUAACGAUAAAGCGGGUGAAAAGCCCGCUCGCCGGAAGACCAAGGGUUCCUGUCCAACGUUAAUCGGGGCAGGGUGAGUCGACCCCUAAGGCGAGGCCGAAAGGCGUAGUCGAUGGGAAACAGGUUAAUAUUCCUGUACUUGGUGUUACUGCGAAGGGGGGACGGAGAAGGC